ACCAUCCCUCCUAAAAACCAAACAAGCCACACACACCUUUUCGUCAGACACCUAUAGUUAAUAAUUAAAUACAGAAUAUUAAGAACUAAACUAAACCAUGACUCUACUAACAGUGCUUAAGAUACCUUCUCAAUGUGUAAUUUGGAGUAACAUCCACUGCUAUGGUGUUAAAUGACUCAAUGGGCUACAAAACCAGUAACGUCAUUCAGUUACAUAUAGGAGAAUGAAUAUGGGUCUAUAUUCUACAUUUUUAUGCAAACAAUAUAAGACUGUUGAGGGAUUCCAGGACAAUUGAUGAUAACAAAAUUUAGUUAUUAAAUGGAUUUGAAGUUUGGUUAAAAAUCUAGCCUUUAGCAAUCAAGAUGCAGACUUCUCCAAUUUGAAACAGAAGACAAGCGCUAACUUGUACUGAGGAAACUCUUGGCUUGUGUGCAAUAACUGCAGAAUCCAGAGCCAUCAGUGGAGUUUGAUAUAGUAGCGAACAAAAAGCAGCAGCACGAAGUUAAUGUCGCUAUAUGGAACUCUUUUCUUGUUCUUUUUAGUGUUUGUAUAAUAA